GCCAACGGCCAUACCAUUGUGAAUACACGGUUCUCGUCCGAUCACCGAAGUUAAGCAUUAUUGGGCCCGGUAAGUACUUGGAUGGGUGACCGCCCUGGGAAACCCGGGUGCUGUUGGCU
rnacentral:rRNA from 1 species